CUGAGCUUAGUUGCGGGUUACUUUUCCGAAGCCUCCAUCGCAGCUGAUGCGGAGUGCCGACGUGGAGGAGACCAGGGUGCCUUGGUGGUGGGAUCCUCUGAGUGUACACACCUGCCUUGUUUAAUUUAUAGUGCCGCACAAGGGCUCCUUGCUGAGGUGUACCUGCCACGGCUAUCAAUAGAGUGAGUCGUCAUGGGCUAGCUAAUGCAGCCCACUCCCACUGAGGUAAUCCUUCAGAGGCAUCCCACGGCCUGAGAGAAAUGUCAGAGCGCUGCUGUGAGGAUCAGUCUGAACUUGCAUACAGAGAUAGAGAUAUAUCUUAUUUAAGCCUGAUUUAAUUUGGGCUGCUUGGCAAUGGUGAGGGAAAGUGUUGUGUGCAGAACAGAGGGUGGGAGCUGGGGAUGCGAAAAGUCUGUCUUUAUUUAGAGAAACUGGCUUUGGUACAACACAGGCCAGAUGCACGGCAAAGUGAACUGACAGAUGUAGUGGUCACAGAUAUUUCUCUGCUCAGAUUACCACCUGUACUAGUUCGACCAUAUGAAUAUUUAGUGAAUGCUGAAGUGCCUUCUUUAGUACGCCUUCCACAAACAACUGUAUUCUGCCACACUGGAUUUCUGGCACAAUUUGAAAGCGUAACAUUGAUAAUUCAUUUCUCAUACAGAGAGGGAGAAGCUCAAAACUUAUUAAUAAAACUUUGUGAAACAUGUGGUUUCACAGUUGUGUUCGGCUCCCUGCUGGGACCACUCAGAGAGGUUCCACUGGAUACCGUGGGUUUAUCUAAAGUCUUCUAACAAGUGCUACAAAUGGCUAACAAAGGUUACUGAUAACACUAAUCAGAACAAAUUCUUCUCAUUUAUUUCUUUGUUUCUUAUAUUUUAAUUGAUUUGCAAUCAAUCUGGAAAUUAAAUUGAUGAUUAAAUUAAACUUAAACUUGUGGUAGUUAAUUUGUGAGCUCACUCUAAAUCUCCUUGGUCAUGAAUUCAAGAAAGCACACAAAUCGGUGACCAUCUGCCAAAACCUGACAUGCUUCUGUAUCAAUAAGAGAAUCAAAAAGGAAUCAAAUUGAUAAGUGAUAUCGAUAAUGUAAACGGAAUCACUAAAUUCUUAUCGAUUCCCAUCUGUAGAUGUAAUCAACUCAAAGUUGAAUUGACUCCUAGCUGAAACCGUCUGGAUGCAAGUCACCUUGGACCAUUGUUUUAUACUAUCUUUAAAAAUGGCAUGCUACUCAUCAUUAAUAAGGCUACUAUUUCUAUGUAUGCAGAUGAUUCAGUAAUAUGUAUGGCAGCUAAUAAUGAAAAGAGUUAAAUGUAGCUCUAUAUUCUGAGUUACAAUCAGUAUAAAUGUAUAAAGAACAAUAAAUUAAUUUCUAAUGUGUCUCAGACAAAUAGCAUGACAUUUGGUUCUAACCAGGCUAUUAGAAAAAAUCUGAUUUGUAAGGUUUCCACUAAUGUGCCUGUUGAUCAAGUCCAUGAGACCAAGUUUCCAGGUGUAAUUUUAGAGAGUAAACUAUCCUGGACAGAACAUACUAAUGAAAUUGUUGUUAAAAGUUGUUAAAACAUGAAAUGGUAUCUCUGUAGGUAAAAGAUAUGCAAAUGUUUUUGUCACCAAAAUUGAUCAAGCAGUUAAUCCAGG
ensembl:lncRNA